CUGUUUUUAAGCCCGCUCCUUGGUGAUCCUUGGUGCUGUUGUCCUUAAGGCACUUUCCCCUGAGAAAAGGACAGAAUCUCCUUAAUGUUCUCUGAUGAAGAUAUUGAUGCUCCAGAAUUAGGCCCACAAAUCUUCAAACUCGAGUGCAACUCGAGACUGAAUGCCUGGGGUAGUUGCUCAUUGCUGCACCCAGACCCAGAGAAGAAUUCAAAGCUAGAUAUGUGUGAAGCACUACAUACUUUUUGUGGAAGAAUACACGAACACUACAGCCUGGAGAAGAUUUAUCUCUAAUAUACUACAGCCCUGAAUAAUUUUCAG
ensembl:lncRNA